rnacentral:tRNA from 1 species
GCCCCAGUGGCGCAAUGGAUAGCGCGUCGGACUUCUAAUCCGGAGGUUGAGGGUUCGAGUCCCUCCCUGGGGUA